rnacentral:rRNA from 1 species
UACGGAGGGGGCAAGCGUUGUUCGGAAUUACUGGGCGUAAAGCGCGCGUAGGCGGCGAUGCAAGUCAGAGGUGAAAUGCCCGGGCUCAACCUGGGAGGUGCCUUUGAUACUGUGUUGCUUGGAUCAGGAGAGGUGAGCGGAAUUCCGAGUGUAGAGGUGAAAUUCGUAGAUAUUCGGAAGAAUACCAGUGGCGAAGGCGGCUUACUGGUCCGAUACUGACGCUGAGGUGCGAAAGCGUGGGGAGCAAACAGGAUUAGAUACCCCGGUAGUCC